rnacentral:rRNA from 1 species
UGGGGAAUAUUGGACAAUGGGCGAAAGCCUGAUCCAGCCAUGCCGCGUGUGUGAAGAAGGCCUUUUGGUUGUAAAGCACUUUAAGUGGGGAGGAAAAGCUUAUGGUUAAUACCCAUAAGCCCUGACGUUACCCACAGAAUAAGCACCGGCUAACUCUGUGCCAGCAGCCGCGGUAAUACAGGGGGUGCAAGCGUUAAUCGGAAUUACUGGGCGUAAAGCGCGCGUAGGUGGUUAUUUAAGUCAGAUGUGAAAGCCCCGGGCUUAACCUGGGAACUGCAUCUGAUACUGGAUAACUAGAGUAGGUGAGAGGGGAGUAGAAUUCCAGGUGUAGCGGUGAAAUGCGUAGAGAUCUGGAGGAAUACCGAUGGCGAAGGCAGCUCCCUGGCAUCAUACUGACACUGAGGUGCGAAAGCGUGGGUAGCAAACAGGAUUAGAUACCCUGGUAGUCCACGCCGUAAACGAUGUCUACCAGUCGUUGGGUCUUUUAAAGACUUAGUGACGCAGUUAACGCAAUAAGUAGACCGCCUGGGGAGUACGGCCGCAAGGUUA